CGUAACAAUGGUUUCCGUAGGUGAACCUGCGGAAGGAAUUG
rnacentral:rRNA from 1 species